AGUGAACGCUGGCGGUAGGCCUAACACAUGCAAGUCGAACGGCAGCACAGGAGAGCUUGCUCUCUAGGUGGCGAGUGGCGGACGGGUGAGGAAUACAUCGGAAUCUGCCCAGUCGUGGGGGAUAACGUAGGGAAACUUACGCUAAUACCGCAUACGACCUUCGGGUGAAAGAGGGGGAUCGCAAGACCUCUCGCGAUUGGAUGAGCCGAUGUCGGAUUAGCUAGUUAGCGGGGUAAUGGCCCACCAAGGCGACGAUCCGUAGCUGGUCUGGGAGGAUGAUCAGCCACACUGGAACUGAGACACGGUCCAGACUCCUACGGGAGGCAGCAGUGGGGAAUAUUGGACAAUGGGCGCAAGCCUGAUCCAGCCAUACCGCGUGGGUGAAGAAGGCCUUCGGGUUGUAAAGCCCUUUUGUUGGGAAAGAAAUCUUUCAGGCUAAUACCCUGGGAGGAUGACGGUACCCAAAGAAUAAGCACCGGCUAACUUCGUG
rnacentral:rRNA from 1 species